UUUGUAAUCAAAUACAAUCGAUUUCUAUCGGGAUGUUUUAUACAAAUAUUUAAUAGACUUUAAUGCAUUUCAAUCGCAAUCACUGUUUUAUCGACUUUAAUGCCAAUGAUUGUCAAAUAUUGUAAUCGACUUUUAGACACACUCUUUGUAAUCAAAUUUAAUCGAUGUCUAUCGCGAAGUUUUAUACAAAUAUUAAAUGUACUUUAACACAUUUUAAUCCGAAAUGCUUUUUUAUCGACUAUAUUGCUACAUAUUGUGGUUCAAAUCAACCCGAUUUUACAGGUUUUUAUAACUUCUAAUUGAAUGAACUUUAAUGACAAUAAUUGUCAUGUAUUUUAAUCGACUUUUAUGGCAAGUGAAUUGAAAUGCAAUCAAUCCACUAUACUACUGUGAAUAGUGUCGCAUGAAUUUGUUUCGUGUGCGGGACUUACACUAAGCUAUUGCAUUGCAUCAGAUUUUUCUGCGCGUAAUGUACGCAUACAUAAAAUUUCUGGACGGCCCGGUCCAGGGCAACAAGUACAGAGCACCUGCGAACAAAAUCGAUUUCUCUUUUACUGACGCAACAUUUGAUGAAAAUAAAAAAUAUUUUGCUUAUCACAAGGAUGGUAACAAAUGCAAAAGUCAAAUAAUAUUUUUGACUGAUACAGAAAAGGAGCUGGAUCAUCUGAUAAAUGCUAAUAAAAGAGAGAGAAUCGUUCCAAUAAAUAAAUUAGACACUGCUAGCGAAAAAUCAGAUGCUAACGAUGGAAAAAACUGUAUUUCAAAUCCUUCUACACCAUCUCGCAAAGAAAUGUAUGAUAAAUUGAUGUCAAUUAAAAUAGAAAAGCUGGAUAUGUCGAAAACCAAACCGAAGGAUGUAACAUUAGAUAAUGGUGCAGAUGAGUCGAGCACAUUAAAGAAGAAAAUUGACGACACGCCAAAUAAAAAGAAAAAAACCUAGCUUCAUUUGGAAAAAUUAUUGGUAUAAAACCAGAUGAUUUGGAGAACAUUGUUAAUGGUUCUAGCCAAUUGAAUCGUGGACAAGAACUUCAUAUAAAUAAUUUCAACAGUGAAGAAGAAAAGGCGAAAUCAUCCCUUAAAUACAAGGAACGAGUGAUAACUGACAACUCAUUGGACGAUGAAAACAUAUCUAAUAACUCUAACCAGACAGAUGAUAAAGUGGAUGUCGAUGCCCUGCUGGAAAUAUUGGAUUAAAGUCGAUAAAAGUGAAUUGAAAAUUAAUCGACUUUAAUAUACUUUGAUCAAUUUAAUCGAUGUUUCCAAAAAUGUCGAUUAAAAUUUAAUCGAUUUCAAUCGUUUUUCUUGUUUAUCGUCUUCAAUAUCACUAAUGAGUAUUAAUUUUAAUCGAUAUGAAUUGACUUUAGAUGACAAAGAUUUUUAAUGUCUUUUAGUACGAAAAUUUACAGUAAGAAUUAAUCGAACCUUAUCGACUUUAAUCCUUUGAUAGUUUAAUAGAAUUUA
rnacentral:misc_RNA from 1 species